CCCGCUUGCGGCGGCUUCUGCGAGGGCCAGAGCGCCCGCUGGCUGUGGCCGGGCCCAGAACACGCCUGAUCGCUUUUGGGUUCAAAGUCAGAAUCGGGUUUCCUGCAACCUCACUGGGCAUUUUCAGAAUGAUCUGUACAAGCGUUGACUGAAUGAUUGAUUCCAAGUUCCCCCUUCCUAGGAUUUCAGACCUCCUCUUGACAAGUGAUGAAUGGGCCAUCUUAAUCUUGUUUGGAUCAGAAAGGACCAUACAAUUGAGCUUUAGACAAGACUAAAAAUAUCAAAAGUAGCACUCUGCAAUUUUAUGUGCAUGUGGCUUGAAGCUCUGACAACAACACAAAAGAUUCCCAAAUGUGGUACUCAUUCUACCUGGAUAUACCAGAGGAUUUUGUGGGAAUAAAAGGAUGACUGUUUUUUCACUUGAAUAAUUAGAACCUCCUUUAGACGUCCUUCACUUCCAGGAUCCAGUCCAAACUCCUGGGCUUGGCACAUGAACCCUCCAUCAUCUGGCACCUGGCAGCCCACAUGCUGGAGCCUCACGGAUUUGCUCAUCGCCCUCUGAACACCUGUGGCCUUCUCACUCCUCUGUGUCUUUGCACAUCCUUUCCCCAACCUCAUGCCAGGCCAUUGCAUUGUGAUCCAGGCUCAGUCUUCGUUCUGCUUCGUGGCAUCACAGUCCCUUAUUUGAAACUGAACCAGGACUGCAGUCUUCGACUUUGACAUCAAAUUUGACACCUCAGUGGCCCAGUACGUGUUGCUUUCCUUACUGAGCCUCAGCUUUCUCAUUUGUAAAGUGGGAAUAAUAGGCCAGGUGUAGUGGCACACACCUGUAAUCCUGGCACUUUGGGAGGUCGAGGCAGGCUAAUCACUUGAGCUCAGGAGCUUGAGACUGGCCUGGGUAACAUGGCAAACACCAUCUCUACAAAAAAAUACAAAAAUUAGCUGGGCAUGGUGGAGCAUGCCUGUACUCCCAGCUACUUGGGAGGCUGAGGUGGGAGAAUCACCUGA
rnacentral:lncRNA from 10 species